AUUUUUUUAAAAAGACAUUUUAUUUUCAAUCGUUGAGUCAAAAUAAAGCACAAUUCAAAUGCAAGACAAAUAUUUCUAUUGUGAUCUUUUAAGUAAAUUGUGGCCUGUCUUUUGUUUUUCAUUAAAUAAUUGCAGUUUAAAAAAAAACACUUAGAAAUGUUCCCACAGAAUGAAGUGAGACAAAAAACAUAUUAAAAAAAAAUAACAUCAAUAUAUAAAUAGUUUCAGUCUUGACAUAAGUGAAAAAAACUGUUUAAUCCAAACUUUUAAGAUCAGAGUACAUACACAUACAAUGAAUAAUGAAAUUUAAAACAUUUUUUUAAAUUCUCCCUCACUCAAGAAAUUUGGUCACAAUUAUGAUUUUUAUCCUAACUGGGCUUUUGAAAAUCCUUCAAGUGUGAUUAUUAAAAAUAGAAAUGAAUAAUUGUUAUUUGUAAUUGAAAAAUAAAAAAGGUUUUUGAAAAUUGACAUAAGCAAACAAAAAAAAAUGUUGACAAUUAAAAUGGCUUAGUUAUGGUGGAAUGUAUUCUAAUUUUGAAAAACAAUUUACUCAUGAGCAAGGUGGGAAGGUUUCUAAGGUAAAUCAAGAGCAGGUACUGAGCUAAAGCCAAACUAUUCUAGACAACACUCUGAAGGUUAAAUCAAUGGCAUUAACCUAUGCAAUGACACUAUUGUUAAUGCAACUAAAAACCAAGCUGUUGUACUGUUUUUGUUUCUUUUCUAAACCAUUGAAAAACUCCAUACAUAAUGAAUAUGUUUAAACAAAAUGGAAUUAGUUUUAAUAUAAAAAAAACAUGGACAAUAGUCUUAGCACUAAAUCUACACACACAUACAAUUCAGUUGAAUCAAUUUAUUGUGUGUGUGUUUGGCAUGCACAACUUUUGUCUGACUUGGUCCAUCAGUUGGACACAAAUGUUUGUGAGCAUUCAAGUCCAACAGUUGAACAGUUAAAUAAGACUUGUUUCCUCAUGUGUUGUCAGUUGCUUGUAUUCAAGUUAUAUUACAUAGGUGCAGACUAAUGCCCUGGGAACUAGGUCAAAUCACUGAACAUGCCAAACAUACAGAUGAUGAUCAGACAGGAAUACAUGUCCUAAAACUUGCUUUCAAAUUUUCACAAACAUAAAAAAAAAAUGGAAUCAAUGCAGGAGCACAGAAUGCACAAACAACUUUGAUUUUGAAUGUCAAGUUGAAUCAACAAGGUCAAUGUUAUUGCUAACUAGGAUCUAACAUUCAUACUAAUAGAUUGGUGACCAAAAACAAAAAAAGCUUAUAGAUCUUAAGGUGUUGUGUGUGUGUGUGUUGUGUUCUAGUCCUGAAAUGAUUCCGUCAUGUAACUGUGUCUUCUCAAAUGAAGAACAUAGUUCAUGCAACAUUCAAUGUUGCUUCAAAGUAUGGAAUGGCCAGCAUCAUUCAAAAAAACAUUAAAUCAAUUUUCAAGUUAUUUUUAUUUUCAAGUAUAUUUGAUAAAAAUGGUUGUUUUAUUAUAACUUUUUAAAGAAUCAUCCAUAGAAUUAUACAACUGUAGACAAAUGUUAAAAGAGAAAUGUCAAAGACAAAUAUCAAGAAAUGUAUUAAAAAGGGCAUCAGAAUUAUUACAUUAAGAGAAAAACAAACUGAUGUUAAAUGACUUUUAAAAAAAAAGAUUGGCCUUCCAGAAAAAAAAAAAAAAAGUGGUUUAAAGAAAAAAAAAAGAAG